rnacentral:rRNA from 1 species
AGUAACGGAGGCGCCCAAAGGUUCCCUCAGAAUGGUUGGAAAUCAUUCGUAGAGUGUAAAGGCACAAGGGAGCUUGACUGCGAGACCUACAAGUCGAGCAGGGACGAAAGUCGGGCUUAGUGAUCCGGUGGUUCCGCAUGGAAGGGCCAUCGCUCAACGGAUAAAAGCUACCCCGGGGAUAACAGGCUUAUCUCCCCCAAGAGUCCACAUCGACGGGGAGGUUUGGCACCUCGAUGUCGGCUCAUCGCAUCCUGGGGCUGUAGUCGGUCCCAAGGGUUGGGCUGUUCGCCCAUUAAAGCGGUACGCGAGCUGGGUUCAGAACGUCGUGAGACAGUUCGGUCCCUAUCCGUCGUGGGCGUAGGAAAUUUGAGAGGAGCUGUCCUUAGUACGAGAGGACCGGGAUGGACACACCGCUGGUGUACCAGUUGUCCUGCCAAGGGCAUAGCUGGGUAGCUAUGUGUGGAAGGGAUAAGUGCUGAAAGCAUCUAAGCAUGAAGCCCCCCUCAAGAUGAGAUUUCCCAUAGUGUUAAACUAGUAAGAUCCCUCGAAGAUGACGAGGUUGAUAGGUCAGAGGUGGAAGCAUGGUGACAUGUGCAGCUGACUGAUACUAAUCGAUCGAGGACUUAACCAA